UACGUAGGGUGCAAGCGUCGUCCGGAAUUAUUGGGCGUAAAGAGCUCGUAGGCGGUCUGUCGCGUCUGCUGUGAAAACCUGGGGCUUAACCCCGGGCCUGCAGUGGGUACGGGCAGACUAGAGUGCGGUAGGGGAGACUGGAAUUCCUGGUGUAGCGGUGAAAUGCGCAGAUAUCAGGAGGAACACCGGUGGCGAAGGCGGGUCUCUGGGCCGUAACUGACGCUGAGGAGCGAAAGCAUGGGGAGCGAACAGG
rnacentral:rRNA from 1 species